GGCUGGCAGAGAGGUGAACGGCGGCUGUAGGUGAACAGCAGUGACGGUGGUGAACGGCGUCGACGGCAGCUAGGUUCUCGGCUCCAGCAGUCUCGCCGGCGGUGUGCUUCUUGGCGUGGGGUGCUGGUUGCUCAUGGUUCCAGCAGCAGGUGGUUCCGUCUCUGGCGUGCUUCGGUUUCCAGGGUGCAGUGUCAGUGAGAUUUCAGAUACACGAAAUGAGCUUAUGCAUUGUGUGUAGUCAUCUGGCUUCUGGGGGCAGACAAGGAGAUGAGAAAUAUAGAAACUCUAACGUGACAGAAGUUCUAUCAAGAACAACUUUUCUCAGAGGUGCUUUGCUUGAUUUGCCUCAGAAGAUUCUGGACCACGACAUCCUCAGCCAAAGUCUUCGAAAGCACAUACCAUAACUAGAACCAAAAGAGAGGAAAGUGAUCAAAACCGAUAAAGCAUACAUACC